AAAAAAAAAAAAAAAAGGAAACACGAUAUUUAACCAGCAUUUAUGUCAGCCCGUUAAUUUUUGUCGUUUUUUUCUUU
rnacentral:ribozyme from 1 species